GGUUUCGUGGUGUAACGGUAGCACACUCAGCUUGUAUUCGAGAGGUCCAGGUUCGAAUCCCAGUGAAGGCA
rnacentral:tRNA from 1 species